CCCUGAGUAGUGCAAAUAGCUAAGUGCUUGGCUGCAAACCAAAAGGUUGGUGGUUUGAACCCACCCACAGGCG
rnacentral:tRNA from 1 species